rnacentral:rRNA from 1 species
GAGCAAUCUGUGUGACUGCGUACCUUUUGUAUAAUGGGUCAGCGACUUAUAUUCUGUAGCAAGGUUAACCGAAUAGGGGAGCCGAAGGGAAACCGAGUCUUAACUGGGCGUUAAGUUGCAGGGUAUAGACCCGAAACCCGGUGAUCUAGCCAUGGGCAGGUUGAAGGUUGGGUAACACUAACUGGAGGACCGAACCGACUAAUGUUGAAAAAUUAGCGGAUGACUUGUGGCUGGGGGUGAAAGGCCAAUCAAACCGGGAGAUAGCUGGUUCUCCCCGAAAGCUAUUUAGGUAGCGCCUCGUGAAUUCAUCUCCGGGGGUAGAGCACUGUUUCGGCAAGGGGGUCAUCCCGACUUACCAACCCGAUGCAAACUGCGAAUACCGGAGAAUGUUAUCACGGGAGACACACGGCGGGUGCUAACGUCCGUCG